rnacentral:lncRNA from 1 species
AUGGGACAUGUGCAGCCCAGCAAUGUCCUUGUAGAAAGCUGCACUGCUCUCUGGUUGAGCGAUGGAGGUCCUGGUCUGGUCACGUCCCCCCUCCAGGUCUGUCUGUUUCAUGUGUCCCUGAUGGCCAGGAGACACCCCUCCUGGGCCAGCCAUGCCACCCUCCCCGUUGUGACAUGGGCCGCCACCAAUGUUCUGCCCACUGUGACAUGGCCACCACAUCACCAGGGAGGUGCCAGGAGCUGGUGGCUGCCUGCUGUGAUAUGGCCACCACAUCACCAGGGCUGCUGUAGCACUGAGACAUGGCUGUCACCUUCCACCAUUCAGAAAACACACCACAAUAUUAUGACUGACUUUCACCUGACAUGAGAGGAGGCCAUACUUCGUGUCAGUACCUCAAUGCAUUAAAACCGCGCUUGCUGAACGGCCUGAAAGGCCACAGAAGUUUCUUCUGACCAGUGACUGAUCUGUAAGGACCACAGGAUAUCAGAGAUACUCUAAGACAACGAAAGGAAGGCAGGCUGCGGCAGCACCCCCGAUCCAGCACGUUUUAUGACGCCCAAGGCAGCAUGGUUUGUCUCAUCACCAGGCCUACGAAAUCCUCCGAACAAAAGGACAGGCUCCCUGGUUCCUAGGGAGACUGAAGGAGGACAGGGGUGACAGAAAAAAGGGAGCUCCAUAAAUCACCAGUGUGUGAAGGGUGGAAAAAAAAUCAACACUGAUCCGAAAAAAAUUUACAUUUUUCAGUUAUCGGGUUAGAAGUAGAUGUGGUAAUGCAGAACAGCAGGGAGCUCGAGACGUCACGCCGUCCGUCCUGCACCCAUCUAGGGGGCCGGGCCAGCUCCAUGCACAGCACUGCCUUCUGGCACACAUCCCUGUGUGACAACAUAAAACCUCCACGUUCUGCUCUGCAGAACUACUACUGCCUACUAUUUGACCCCCAUUUGUACAGAUGAUUUCUCCGUAUGUCCAACAGAUCGCAAUGGUACCUUCUGAUUACCUUUCUUUCUUUUCCAGACCCUUUCUCCAACUCAUCUAUUUAAUUUUGAAACCU